CCUAGUAGAGCACAACGGCGUAGAUUCGGGUGUUCGGUUGCCAACUACCAUGGAUACUACAAUGGACCCGGAAGAGACGCUGCUCGGAGGCUCAUCUGGAACCUCCUCACCUACGUCAACUCCACCACCUUCUACUUCACUGCGUGCUACCUCCUCCGUUAGGUCGACUCUAGCUGCUCUCCACCACCUUCUACUCCACUGCGUGCUACCUCCUCCGUUAGGUCGACUCUAGCUGCUCUCCACCACCUUCUACUCCACUGCGUGCUACCUCCUCCGUUAGGUCGACUCUAGCUGCUCUCCACCACCUUCUACUCCACUGCGUGCUACCUCCUCCGUUAGGUCGACUCUAGCUGCUCUCCACCACCUUCUACUCCACUGCGUGCUACAAUCACCGAUGAUCUACCUGGAACGAGGACCCAGCAAACAAGGCCAGUGAGAGACGUCCAUGUGCUGGUAAACCAGAUGCAAGUCAUGACUCGACAAUGGAAGGAGGACAUGGCAAGAAGUGAGGCCCGGGAGGAACGGUUGAUCUCCAG
ensembl:lncRNA